AGCGAACGCUGGCGGCAGGCCUAACACAUGCAAGUCGAACGAACCUUUCGGGGUUAGUGGCGGACGGGUGAGUAACACGUGGGAACGUGCCUUUAGGUUCGGAAUAACUCAGGGAAACUUGUGCUAAUACCGAAUGUGCCCUUCGGGGGAAAGAUUUAUCGCCUUUAGAGCGGCCCGCGUCUGAUUAGCUAGUUGGUUGAGGUAAUGGCUCACCAAGGCGACGAUCAGUAGCUGGUCUGAGAGGAUGAUCAGCCACAUUGGGACUGAGACACGGCCAAAACUCCUACGGGAAGCAGCAGUGGGGAAUCUUGCGCAAUGGGCGAAAGCCUGACGCAGCCAUGCCGCGUGAAUGAUGAAGGUCUUAGGAUUGUAAAAUUCUUUCACCGGGGACGAUAAUGACGGUACCCGGAGAAGAAGCCCCGGCUAACUUCGUG
rnacentral:rRNA from 1 species